GGAGAGAGCGGAGGAGGGAGCGGGUGAGGCGCCGGAGUCCGCGCUCGGCCCGGGAGUGGCAGCCCGAUUGUCCGAGGAUUAAAAAGUAAGCAGCAUUGUUUGUUGGAGAGCCCUACAGAAAGUGGGAACAGCUUAGUCUUACUUUGUGCUGCUUUAGCGUGGCAACAGUCUCUUCUUCGUGGGAAGCCAGCGGAUGAAAGCUUAAGCAAAAAAGCUGAAGUACCAUUGUCACGUCGUUGUACGUGCCAUUCAAAGAAUUUUACAAACGAUGGCGAGGACCGAGGAACUUCACGUCAUUUCAACAGUCCAAGUAUACCACCUUCUGAAAGA